rnacentral:rRNA from 1 species
ACUUUACAUUGAAUUAGUAAAGCUAGAACUAUUUGUGACAAUGGUUGUACUAAUUAUAUUUGUUUUGUUGGGGCGACAUGAGUAUAAUUAACUAACUGCUCUUAGAAAAAACAAUUAUUUUUGUUAUGUGAAUGAUCCUUUAUGUUAAGAUUUAAAGAAAAAGUU